UACGUAGGGUGCAAGCGUUAAUCGGAAUUACUGGGCGUAAAGCGUGCGCAGGCGGUUAUGUAAGACAGAUGUGAAAUGCCCCGGGCUUAACCUGGGAACUGCAUUUGUGACUGCAUGGCUAGAGUGUGUCAGAGGGGGGUAGAAUUCCACGUGUAGCAGUGAAAUGCGUAGAUAUGUGGAGGAAUACCGAUGGCGAAGGCAGCCCCCUGGGAUAACACUGACGCUCAUGCACGAAAGCGUGGGGAGCAAACAGG
rnacentral:rRNA from 1 species